GGAAACAGAAAAUCAAGAUGUUAAUAACUCGGUAAAGAUCAGCAAUUUGAGAUUUAAACUGAGCCUCAUUUCAGAGGUUAUUAAGUAUAAAAUAACAAGUGAUUUUCUCUUAUAUGUUACCGAAGAAAUAAUCUGUAGAACAUCAAAUGUUAGCUUUCUUAAACUAACUUUAAUCAUCACACCUGGAUCAUUGAAUUUCAAGCCUGACCAUAGUGGAAAUACCCUUUGUCUAAAGGACUCUUUUUUUUUUUUUCAUACUCUUUCAUAUGAUUUGGGGGUGGAGGUAUGAUGCUAAAAAUCAGCGAUCCCAACUCCUCUUGAGAUUGGUAGAGAAGUGUUGGGUUGCUAUAGUGACCUUCACCCUUAUUAAGACAUUUUAAAAUUCAAAGUUAGAAUUUACCCAUCUGUGCUUUUCUCUUAGUAAUAUUUUAUCCCUUUUAUUUUUCUCAAAACGUUCCUCCUACAACAACUUAUCUGGAAAAAACAUUUUAAAAAAUUUUAGUUUAAACUUUGAAUAUCUCAUCUCCAAAUCUAAUGCAUUAGUAAAUUAGCAAUAACAUGGCAUUUCCUUAAAGAGCCAAGCCAUCAAGGCAUUUCUCCAACAGACUCCUCCAGCCACUCCCUUAGAGUCAGCAGUGUUACAAAAGAUGACCCUCCUUCCUAGAGGUUUCAUUCUGAAAAAGCAAUUUUUUGUAAGCCUAGUUCAGAGUCAGCCUGUGAGAUGGAAUGUCUAUGCCAUGUGCUGGAACAAAGAUAACGCUGCAAGGACUGCCCACUUUCUCUACUCUCAAGGCUGCUUAAAGUCCUUACUUAGGCCUUUGAUCUCUCCUGGGAGUCUUCGAACUAGGCAGAGGCCAAUGUCUUCCUCAGCUGUCUUCUCCACAAAUUCUUCCAGCAGCUUUGGCAGGGCCUCCUGAGUGACAGCGUCUUCUCAGGCCGGGAGCCGAGGGAAAGCUCCCCGGACCUGCGUUUGCGAGUCUCUGCUCUGGAGCGCUAAGGGCACGCACGGAGCCCGAACUGAUUGGAGAAGGAAACAAAUGGAAUUCACCUCUAGGAGCUCAAGCCCUCCAGAAGGGGUGCCUAGUUUCCAAUUCUGUGUGACCUGGGGCAAAUGACUUGCUCCCCGAGCUUGGCUACCUUCUCUUAACAAUGGGUCCAGUGACAGUUGCCAGAGAAUUGUUGAAAGUCAUAACUGAGUGCAUACAUAGCAAGUGUUGGGAACAGGGCUUCCCAAGAGAAAACAAGUCAUAAUUGUUUGGUUACAAAUAUCCCAUGCUUAACAACUUUGGGGACAAAGGACAUUAGAUGCUUUGUGGAAAGAAAUCACCUGAAAGGCAAGCCAGAAGCAUAACUUCUAUCUUCCACUUAAACUUGAAGGAGCAAAUUUAUUUGUGCCCGAAUCUUAAGUUUGUGAACAGGUCUGUGUUAGCUUUGGGCGGUGUGUGACAGUGUGGACUACAUAGCCAAAGAAAGUGCUUCUGUUGCUGCUGACCAGAACCUGUGGUGCCUGGAUGAGAAUAUCUACCCACUACUGUGCUUCCGAGGCGGCAACGCGCACGCUUUGGAGGGUUUCCACUCCCCUGGAUGGGUCCUUUAGGAACUCAAUUCUUUUAUCUGGUGUGGCCCUGGGUACCUAUUCAUUUCAAAGACAUCUACUUGUUAACAGUUCUAAAAAUAAGGUGCAGAUGAAUUCCCACUGCCCAUUGGUAUGAAAAGGAGCCAGAUUUUCAAGGGCUGGUGGUGGAGGUAGUGUCUUUGUCUUAGAGACCACAGAACUUGGGAAAGGGGACAGCGGCAGGCACGUUUGUAGCAAACUUCGGUGACUGACAUUAUCCUACCCCUGAUUUCUGGGGCCUUCACUGUGGAGAGCAGAUUUCACCCUGAGAAAGUUAAUACUUCUUUGGCCCCUGAAGAUGGGGAAAUCUGCCUGCCAGGGUUGCUUUCGGGAAAUAAUUUUAGAAAAAUGUAAUAGAAAAGAAGGUCUCCUCAGCCCCUGUUAAUUUGGAGUCACAACAGUUUACUGGAUUCUGUGACACAAGAUCAAGGUGCAAACUCACUUCUUUUAUGAGUCCACAAGCCUGGUCCAAAACCUCAGAAAAUUCAAGUCUGUUUGUGUAGAUAGACCUUGAAGUAAUAGUUUUUCCCCAUAUAUAAAAACUAUCCUCCCCCCACCCUCUACCGCAGGUGAUUUUGAUAGUGAAGUCAGGGUGGAGGGGGAUUGACAAAAGCUGAUUAAUAGGUUCAUUGUCACUUAAAUGGAGGCCCUUCCCUCUCGCCUUCUAGCCACAAAGUUUCAAAGACCCUGCUGUGAUUGCUUUUCUGUAAGGCUUUUGUCGCCAAAGUGUGUGAAGUUACCCUGGUCGAAGGAGUUGGAAAUUUUACACGAGCCAAGAAAGAUUGCCCUGCCGGCAGCUGGGACGCAUCUGUAACGGUGUUAGUUUGCCUGAAAGCAGAAAAUUAGCGACCCCGAAGCCCAGCUUGGCUGUUUAGACUGUCGAAAUGACAGGGCGGGGCAGAAAGAGGGAGAAGGGAGACGAGCCCUUGGGAAGGAGUUCAUCAUCUAAAACCCGGUUUCUUAGAACACAAAUCUUAGAGACGCAGUCAGGGUGGAUCUUCCGCCUGCUCAGGUUCAUCACAGGAGGAGGCGCUCAGCAAACAGGCGCAGAAGCGGGAAAGAGAGGAAGCCGGGUGUGUUCCUGGUCACCUGGCCCUGCUAUGCCCACGCCCUUCAGAUGAACAGAGAAAAAACUCAGAGCGAGCUGUUUUUGGAGAAAAGGAACCUCCCAGGUUACCCCCAAAUAACACAGAGACUGUUAAUGGCAAUCUGAUGAGAAACAAAACAGAUUUAAAAAAAAAAAAAUCUAGGGCCACUUCAUUAUUGAAAGUGCCACUUCAAGUUUUUAGCAACUGUUAUUUGGCCUACUGGCUGAGAAAAUUCCUGACACAACUGAAGUUCACGAAAAAGAGAAAUACCUGAAAAUAAAGUUGAUCACUCAUGUCUCGCAUUGGGAAGGCGGGUCCGCGUUUGGUGUCAACUGAAAUGGGGAGUUCUAUUUACUGAUUAUCUUUUUAAAUGUGAGAGCAAUUGUACGAAGUUGGAUUUCCUUCGUUCCUUUUGUCUGUGACACCCUCUAAGUGUCCCUUGGUUUAGGUAACCGAAAGAGUGCAAGUAAGCGGACUGGGGCGCCAUCACCUCCGCCCCAGCAGAAACGCAGUAAAACCAUUAGCGUCAAAAGGGGCAGUAAACAGCAAACUGUCUCUAGAGAAAAGGCGGAGGUUUGCCCAGACAGCCCCGGCGGGGGUUGCGGUGGGAUAUGCUAAUAGUGCGGGGCCACAGGGGCCGGCCUCCCUCCCCCAAGAAUAUAUAAAGAGCCCCAACCCCAGCGCGGCAGACCCAGGCCGCCAGGCGUCUGCCCUUGCUAAUUACCAGAGACACCGACCAGGGAGCUCGGCCCGGGAUUUCCCUGCCCUCAGCGGCGCCAGGCUCCGGUUUCUGCCCUAUCUAUCUCGCUGCUGUCCAGGCCCAC
rnacentral:lncRNA from 1 species